rnacentral:tRNA from 1 species
GCGCUCGUAGCCCAAUUGGAUAAGGCAGCGGUCUUCUAUACCGCAGAUUGCAGGUUCGAAUCCUGCCGAGCGCGCCA